CCUACGGGAGGCUGCAGUGAGGAAUAUUGGUCAAUGGUCGGGAGACUGAACCAGCCAAGCCGCGUGAGGGAUGAAGGUACAGAGUAUCGUAAACCUCUUUUGUCAGGGAACAAAGGCGGGGACGCGUCCCCCGAUGAGUGUACCUGAAGAAAAAGCAUCGGCUAGCUCCGUGCCAUCAGCCGCGGUAAUACGGAGGAUGCGAGCGUUAUCCGGAUUUCGUGGGUUAAAAGGGUGCGCAGGGGGUCGGGUAAGUCAGCGGUAAAAGCCCGGGGCGAAACCCCGGCCCGCCGUUGAAACUGGCAGUCUCGAGUGGGAGAGAGGUAUGUGGAAUGCGCGGUGUAGCGGUGAAAUGCAUAGAUAUCGCGCAGAACUCCGAUUGCGAAGGCAGCAUGCCGGCUCCACACUGACGCUGAGGCACGAAAGCGUGGGUAUCGAACAGGAUUAGAUACCCUUGUAGUC
rnacentral:rRNA from 1 species